AGACAGGUAAGCUAUAUAAGCUAAUGGGUUCAUACCCCACUGAUAGAGAAUACUCUCCUUUCUA
rnacentral:tRNA from 1 species